rnacentral:rRNA from 1 species
UACGGAGGGUGCAAGCGUUAUCCGGAUUCACUGGGUUUAAAGGGAGCGUAGGUGGCUUUGUAAGUCAGUGGUGAAAUGUCGCGGCUCAACCGCGAAAACUGCCAUUGAUACUGCUUAGCUUGAAUCACGUCGAGGUGGAUGGAAUAUUACAUGUAGCGGUGAAAUGCUUAGAUAUGUAAUAGAACACCGAUUGCGAAGGCAGUUCACUAGGCGUGUAUUGACACUGAGGCUCGAAAAGCGUGGGGAUCAAACAGG